AUUGAACGCUGGCGGCAGGCCUAACACAUGCAAGUCGAGCGAGAGGCGGACGGGUGAGUAAUGUCUGGGAAAAUGCCUGAUGGAGGGGGAUAACUACUGGAAACGGUAGCUAAUACCGCAUACCAUGAGAUGUGCCCCGAUGGGCUUGGCUAGUGGGUGGGGUAACGGCUCCCCUAGGCGACGCUCCCUAGCUGGUCUGAGAGGAUGACCAGCCACACUGGAACUGGGACACGGUCCAGACUCCUACGGGAGGCAGCAGUGGGGAAUAUUGCACAAUGGGCGCAAGCCUGAUGCAGCCAUGCCGCGUGUAGGAAGAAGGCCUUCGGGUUGUAAAGUACUUUCAGCGGGGAGGCGUUACCCGCAGAAGAAGCACCGGCUAACUCCGUGCCAGCAGCCGCGGUAAUAC
rnacentral:rRNA from 1 species